rnacentral:rRNA from 1 species
GGCGAACGGGUGAGUAACACGUGGGCAAUCUGCCCUUCACUCUGGGACAAGUCUCGGAAACGGGGUCUAAUACCGGAUAACACUCCUCCUCUCCUGAGGAGGAGUUAAAAGCUCCGGCGGUGAAGGAUGAGCCCGCGGCCUAUCAGCUAGUUGGUGAGGUAAUGGCUCACCAAGGCGACGACGGGUAGCCGGCCUGAGAGGGCGACCGGCCACACUGGGACUGAGACACGGCCCACACUCCUACGGGAGGCAGCAGUGGGGAAUAUUGCACAAUGGGCGAAAGCCUGAUGCAGCGACGCCGCGUGAGGGAUGACGGCCUUCGGGUUGUAAACCUCUUUCAGCAGGGAAGAAGCGAAAGUGACGGUACCUGCAGAACAAGCGCCGGCUAACUACGUGCCAGCAGCCGCGGUAAUACGUAGGGCGCAAGCGUUGUCCGGAAUUAUUGGGCGUAAAGAGCUCGUAGGCGGCUUGUCCCGUCGGGUGUGAAAGCCCGGGGCUUAACCCCGGGUCUGCAUUCGAUACGGGCUAGCUAGAGUGUGGUAGGGGAGAUCGGAAUUCCUGGUGUAGCGGUGAAAUGCGCAGAUAUCAGGAGGAACACCGGUGGCGAAGGCGGAUCUCUGGGCCAUUACUGACGCUGAGGAGCGAAAGCGUGGGGAGCGAACAGGAUUAGAUACCCUGGUAGUCCACGCCGUAAACGGUGGGAACUAGGUGUUGGCGACAUUCCACGUCGUCGGUGCCGCAGCUAACGCAUUAAGUUCCCCGCCUGGGGAGUACGGCCGCAAGGCUAAAACUCAAAGGAAUUGACGGGGGCCCGCACAAGCAGCGGAGCAUGUGGCUUAAUUCGACGCAACGCGAAGAACCUUACCAAGGCUUGACAUACACCGGAAAGCAUCAGAGAUGGUGCCCCCCUUGUGGUCGGUGUACAGGUGGUGCAUGGCUGUCGUCAGCUCGUGUCGUGAGAUGUUGGGUUAAGUCCCGCAACGAGCGCAACCCUUGUUCUGUGUUGCCAGCAUGCCCUUCGGGGUGAUGGGGACUCACAGAAGACCGCCGGGGUCAACUCGGAGGAAGGUGGGGACGACGUCAAGUCAUCAUGCCCCUUAUGUCUUGGGCUGCACACGUGCUACAAUGGCAGGUACAAUGAGCUGCGAUACCGCAAGGUGGAGCGAAUCUCAAAAAGCCUGUCUCAGUUCGGAAUUGGGGUCUGCAACUCGACCCCACGAAUGUCACGCAGCUUGCUAGU